UCUAAUCACAUUUGCUAACCUUGAGAGGGUCUACUGCCUCACAAUGAGGCAAGGUGUGUUUUGUAUAAGAAGCCUUUCAUUUUAGCCACAUUAAUGUCUCGCAUGUCAUUGCAUAGGGAGUUGAUUCCUGCUUUGUCCGUUUCAAAUACAAUCCUUUCAAAGCUUCGAGAGAUAAUCUAUGUCUCCUGGAUAUAUAUGACAAGCCAGGCAGCCAGCCACUGGAGGUGGGCUGCCAUGCAGGCCUGAGGCCAAAGGAGGCUGGGGAAUAGCCAUAACUAAAAGGCACCUCUUCACAAAGGACACUCCACUCGUUUUAUAUUUGCCUUUGACUACACUUCAAAGUGCUUCUGAGUGGCUGUUUAAGAGUGAAACAAAAAGGGAGAAUAGCUUUAAAGAGGAUGAAGGGGGGCUGAAGCCUGAGCUGUAGGACUGUGCUGAAUCCAACCUGCCAUCAUCAGUUCAAAAGGAAACAAACAUAGGCCUCUCCAGAAUUUUGAAUUAGGAAUCUUGUCAGCUGGUCUCUCAACGCAAUUGAUCAGAUUUUUUUGACAGGAAAACACGAACCAGAUUCAGAAGUGACUCAGAAGGGAGAUAAGGGAAACACUCUGAUAUGAAGCACACAUAUCCUCUCAUUUGGAAAUACCUAAACAACUGUGACCUGUGGAUACCAAUGUUUUAACUGUUCAAAGAAAGAAAAUGUAUCUAUGCAUAGAUUGCAAAAUGUCAUGACUUCAAGUUUCUUUCUUCCAGGAUUGGUGUACUUCACAGUUGUGUUAAAAAUAAUAGCAGUGUGUUUAAAAAAAAUAUAUGUAAAGUUCCAAAUCCUAAGAAUAAUUUUUAUUUUCAUGCACUACACAUUAAAUUCUAAAUCAAACCAUUAAGAAAAAUGUAUCAGUAUUUAAUCACGUUACCGAAUAUGAAGAAAAAUGAACACUUAGCAGUGUCUUCAUUUUUCUUUACAAACUCAAAUAUUUUACUGUAUAAACUGAAGGUUUUUAGGAUUAAUCAUUCCUAUGAAUCACUAAACUAAUAUUUAGUUGUCUAACCACUGUUUCUAAAAACUGUUUUAUCUUUGUGUUGUAUGGAGCCGAUCAAUGUCUGGCACCUGUGAACAGGUAUUCCAGCCCAAGAUGAUUUGACAACAUUCCAAAAUUCCUCUGCAUUUCUUGGUUUUGCCUCAGAAACAGCAUUUUUGAUGUCACUCUAAUAGUUUUCAAUUGGAUUAAAGAUUGGGCUGGCCACUACAGCACUUUGAUUUUGUUUGUCUGGAACCAAGAUGCUAAUCACUUACUGGCGUGUUUAGGGUAUUUGUCUUGUUGAAACAUCCAUUUCAAGAUUUCCUUUUUGGCGUAAGGCCACAUGACCUCUUCAUGUAUUUUGAAAUAUGCAAAUGAUGCUUGAACCACCAUGCUUCACUAUCUUCAGAGUGUUCUGUGGCUUCAGUUCAGUGUAUGGGGGUCAUCUGACACACUGUCUGCGGCCAUUGAACCCAAAUAAAACCAUCUUAUUGUCA